CUUGCGGCAGUCUACACAUGCAAGUCGAGCGGUAACAGAGAGAAGCUUGCUUCUCUGCUGACGAGCGGCGGACGGGUGAGUAAUACUUGGGAAUUUGCCUUUAGGCGGGGGACAACCACGGGAAACUGUGGCUAAUACCGCAUAAUGUCUACGGACCAAAGUGGGGGACCUUCGGGCCUCACACCUAAAGAUGAGCCCAAGCGGGAUUAGCUAGUUGGUGGGGUAAAGGCUCACCAAGGCGACGAUCCCUAGCUGUUCUGAGAGGAUGAUCAGCCACACUGGGACUGAGACACGGCCCAGACUCCUACGGGAGGCAGCAGUGGGGAAUAUUGCACAAUGGGGGAAACCCUGAUGCAGCCAUGCCGCGUGUGUGAAGAAGGCCUUCGGGUUGUAAAGCACUUUCAGCGACGAGGAAGGGUGUUGUGUUAAUAGCACAGCACAUUGACGUUAGUCGCAGAAGAAGCACCGGCUAACUCCGUGCCAGCAGCCGCGGUAAUACGGAGGGUGCAAGCGUUAAUCGGAAUUACUGGGCGUAAAGCGUACGUAGGCGGCGUGUUAAGCAAGAUGUGAAAGCCCCGGGCUCAACCUGGGAAUUGCAUUUUGAACUGGCAUGCUAGAGUCCUGAAGAGGGUGGUAGAAUUUCCAGUGUAGCGGUGAAAUGCGUAGAUAUUGGAAGGAAUACCGGUGGCGAAGGCGGCCACCUGGUCAGAGACUGACGCUGAGGUACGAAAGCGUGGGGGAGCAAACAGGAUUAGAUACCCUGGUAGUCCACGCCGUAAACGAUGUCAACUAGUUGUUCGUGUCAUUAAGACGUGAGUAACGCAGCUAACGCACUAAGUUGACCGCCUGGCGAGUACGGCCGCAAGGUUAAACUCAGAUGAUUUGACGGGGGCCCGCACCAAGCGGUGGAGCAUGGUGGUUUAAUUCGAUGUCACGCGAAUACUUACCAUCCCUUGACAUCAGUGAUUUUCCAGAGAUGAUUAUGGCUUCGGGACACUGAGACAGGUGCUGCAUGGCUGUCGUCACUCGAGCUGUGUGAUGUUGGUAAGUGCGCAACCAG
rnacentral:rRNA from 1 species